AUUGACGCUGGCGGCAUGCCUUACACAUGCAAGUCGAACGGCAGCACGGGAGCAAUCCUGGUGGCGAGUGGCGAACGGGUGAGUAAAGUAUCGGAACGUGCCCAGUCGUGGGGGAUAACGUAGCGAAAGUUACGCUAAUACCGCAUACGAUCUAUGGAUGAAAGCGGGGGAUCGCAAGACCUCGCGCGAUUGGAGCGGCCGAUAUCAGAUUAGGUAGUUGGUGGGGUAAAGGCUCACCAAGCCGACGAUCUGUAGCUGGUCUGAGAGGACGACCAGCCACACUGGAACUGAGACACGGUCCAGACUCCUACGGGAGGCAGCAGUGGGGAAUUUUGGACAAUGGGCGCAAGCCUGAUCCAGCAAUGCCGCGUGCAGG
rnacentral:rRNA from 1 species